ensembl:lncRNA
UCUGGCUGUGCUUCCUUCCACUGGUCACUCUACUGUGAUUUAUCCCCAUUCACUCAAGUCACAAAGUGACUUGACCCUACAGCCAUAGCUGGGAUUAGUGCCCUGAGGUUCAGAUUUAUGGAGUCUAGUGCUGUCUGACAAAGUUUUCUGCAAUCUGGGAAGCAGACUCUGGGACAUCAGGUGAAUUGAUCUUGGGACUGAAUGAGCCAGGAAUGUUGAUGGUAGGCAGUAAUUGCAAACAAGAGCUCAGCAAUCCUCUUCCCAGUGUUGGUAUUCUCACUCACAAAUUCUGUCAUGCCUUCACGAUGCUCUAACAAAAACUGCUGCUCUAGGAGAAUAUGCUCUUGGAGAAAGAUUUGUGCUUUCUCUUUUUCCCAAAGCCAGGGACAUAAUUUUCUUUCUUUCACCUCAGGAAAGAUGCCAUCAACAAGGAUAAUGGACAAUAUAAAAGGAAUCCAGGAAGAGAAGUAAAGGAGCAGGAACAGUUGCAUCAGGAAGAAGCAAGUCAAAGAGAGAGGGGAGGGGAGAGUGGAGGAGAGAGCUGAUAGUGUCUCCACAACAGUUGUAAGUGCCACCCUAUCUCAUGGAGGCACACUUAGCUCCCCAUAAUGAAAGCAGCUUGCAUUGCAUGGGUGCCAGCCACACAAAUGCUGGAAGUUGCCUCACUUUGGCCAUCAUGUGCUUUCACAUUGCAGGGGGAAUGUGAGAGCUUGGGGCUGUUCCAGACCAGCCAUGGCUUUGAAGGGCCUCCUUUCCAUGCAUCCCACUGCUGACAGGACUGUGAGCAUGAGGCACUUUUCAGAUGACAGUGAGAAUGGAUUGUCAAACUGGACCACUAUGACAAUUUACUCUGGGGGAGAAAAUCCUGUGGGUGUUCAGAAGCUUUACUGUAAGUUAUAUUUGAUUAACUUAUCCUACUACUGACAAAUAAUUAGGUCAGCAAUUAAUUUCAAAAUGCAAAUGUGCUACAGGCCUUCAUAUUUUAAGAAAUUCCCUUUGUCUUUAGCUUCUACUUGUGUUGAAGUCUUAAUGGAUUUAGCUGAAUGAAGAAACAAAAUUAUGUUUUCUAAUGCUUUAUUUACUUGGUUGAGUUGGACUUUUUCAGCAAAUAUUGACAGCAAAUGUUUGUUCAGAAAUGAUCAUGUGGGAUGGAAUUAAUGGGGUAAGAAAAUGGAAGAGUAAUGAUGAACCACUCAUUUAAAAUAUAUAUACAUAUAUACAUAUAUACAUAUAUAUAUAUAUAUAUAUAUAUAUUCACAUUUCUGCUGCAAAAUAUUUAUCUACCUUCAUGAAAUAGGAACAGAAAGAAAAACAAGGGUCAAGAGGAGAUCAUUGUGGCAAAUUCAAUAGUACCUGCUUAAGCAGUCUAAGAAACCAGGAUAUAUCAUAAAAAACUCAUACCUAACAUUGAUACAAGUGUGUCUCAAAGAUACCUAUCUACCAGCCUUUCUCAGGGACUUUAUUAUUAAACAAACACAGAUUAAAGGCUCAACCCUUCCCAAGAGAAAUUCAAGGGAGUUUUAUGUUGACUUUAAGGGAGUGAGGAACCUAAGUCUGUAUUUUCUGUGAUUAAAAUCAUGCCAUUUUUUAGAAAAUAUUCAAAAUAUGCUGCUGUAAACAAAACCAACCAGCUAUCCUGAUUUACAAUCGAAAUGAAUUUACAUAGGUGGAAGAAUUAUAUUAGAAUUUUCUAUGUGUUAUUUUGCCCAAAUAUUUCAAGUCAAGCAGAAUAACCACUCAAAAAUUAGGUGAGGGUUUUUCACAAAAUUUUUACUGACUUGAAGAAAAAAAAAAUUAUAUGCUUAAUGAUGCAAGCCAAUUUGAAAGAAAUAAUGGUUUAAAAAAAGUCAGGUUUUGAGUUUUCUGGGCCUUUUUGGUUCAAAAUGGUGCUUUCACAUCACAUUUGCUUAAAUUAGUAAUGAAAAUAAUUACAUGAGAAAAAGAAAAAAACAGAAGAAAGAUAAAACUAAACAUUGCAUUUUUUAGGGGAUUUUAAUUUUAGAAUGAAAAAAGAGGGAGAAAGGGAAGAAUUGCAUGGGGUCAAAUGUGUCUCAUGCAUGGAAAAAGCUUGAUUUCCAUUCUCCUCCAAAACACCCAGGACCCUCUUUUCCUCUUAAGCAUCUCCUGAAGAACUUUGAAGAUUCCACUACGUAGGAGCAGGCAACACAAAACUGAAGCUUGAUUUUGAAUGAGGGAGAACCUCUCUCUCCCUCUCUCUUUCUCCUCCCAGAGUUAUAGGAAAGAAAAUGAGAACCAUAUCUGGGUGAGAGGGCUGAGCUGUUGGGAGCUGAGCAGCCAGAAGCUUUCUUGUAAGAUAAAGCAACAAUCAUGCUGCUCAGCUGUACACUGACAGGGACCCCAUUAAAGAAUCACUUUUCAAAAAAGAUACAGCUGCCUUCAAAAGCAUCCUAAGGAGAGAAGUGGAAAUGAUCAGAAAUUUGGGAAAUGUCACCUGCAAAGAAAUCUGAACUGGGGUGAUUUCAUCUGGAAAAGAAAAUGAGUGGACAUAAAACCCAAAUACUUCUAAUGUUAAAAGCCUUCUGGGAAGAGGCAGGGAAGAGUUUGUGUUUCAGGACUACAGCCAGAUGACAGAAAGUGACAGUACUACAUUGAAACAAAGGAGUCAGAUCAAAUGCUGGCCAAAAUUUUCUCACAGUGAAGACAUCGAAGCUGUGGAAAUUAUUGUUUUUGGAGGGUCUGGAGUCCCCCUCACUGAAGACCUUUGAGAAUAGGCUGCACAAGCUACUUUCCAAAAUAAUGUGAAUAUAGUUUUUAGCUGAAACCAAUUCCUUAGCAGUUAUUACAUUGAUAUUUUUAAUUGAUUUUAAGAAAUUGAAGGAACUCUUGCUUUUGUGGUAGGAUAAAAUAAACUUUUAAGUUAAUCUAGGGCA